rnacentral:sRNA from 1 species
GCCCGGCGCGGUGGGGGACGCCUGUAAUCCCAGCGCCUAGGGAGGCUGAGACAGGAGGAUCCCGAGUUCAAAGCCAGCCUUGGCAAUUUAGCGAGGCCCUUAGCAACUCAGUGAGACCCUGUCUCUA